UACGAAGGGGGCUAGCGUUGCUCGGAUUGACUGGGCGUAAAGGGCGCGCAGGCGGCGAGUUUUGUCAGGCGUGAAAGCCCCGGGCUCAACCUGGGAAUUGCGCUUGAAACGGGCUUGCUAGAGAUCGGGAGAGGAGAGUGGAAUUCCCAGUGUAGAGGUGAAAUUCGUAGAUAUUCGGAGGAACACCAGUGGCGAAGGCGGCUCACUGGUCCGGUACUGACGCUGAGGUGCGAAAGCGUGGGGAGCAAACAGG
rnacentral:rRNA from 1 species